rnacentral:lncRNA from 1 species
AAAAAUAGCAGAUGAAUAUAGAAGUGAAAUAGAAGGCUUAGAAGGGAGAUAAUGAAAUUAUGUGAUUGGGUCUUCCAAAAGCAAAGGAAUGAUCCGUUUUUUAGUUAACUGAUCUGAUGGGUCCAACAAACAAUUAAUUAUAACAAAUAUCUAAAUUCUAAAUAAAGGAUAAUAAAUAAAGGGGGUCUUCUUUUAUUCGAAACGUCUCGUGAUCUUCAACCAAUUAUGUGCUUCAAUAUAAUUACCGGGAGUAAGCGCUAUAGCCUAUUUCCAAUACUCAGCGGCUCGAUCGAACCAAGCCUCUGCAAUUUCAGAAUCUCCCUGUUGAAUGGCCUAUUUUCCCCGGCCGAAAUAGGUAGUUCAAUUCCUACCCUUAGAACCGUACUUGAGAAUUUCUUACCUUAUACGGCUCAGCAGUCAAUUCUUUUGGUGUCCCAUUUUUAUCUAUACCAUAUCUAUCUAAUUAGAUUUCUCAUGGAUCUAUGCUAGCUUUAGGGUUAACCAAAAGAAAAAUAGGUUAAUUACAUGAGUUUCAAACUGAAAUUUGGAUGAAUAAUUCGUUUAUUUAGUUUUAUCUUUUUUCCCACCUUCAGAAGAAUAAAGCAUAAUGAAUUACUAUUUUUAUUAACAGCAUUUAACCAACCCGGCAACCAAAUGCUUCGACCCGCAUUAAAUGCUGGGCCACUCAUUGAAAAUAAAACUACAUCAAACCCAUAUGAAGUUUGACCAUGAACGGAUUGUAUCCAUUGAGCAAAUAUAGGUUCAAUCAAGAUUUUCUUCUCUGGAGUGCCAAAGGCAAGCAUGACAUCAUUAUGAACAUAAAGUCCUAGGGUAUGGAACCCCAGAAAGAGACUGGCCCAAAUUAAAUGAGAUAUGAUAGCUUCUUUAUGAUCUAACAUUCUUGCCAAUACAUUAUCUUCAUUUUGAUCCUGAUUGUAAUCUCUAAUGAAAAAUAUAGCUCCAUGAGCAAAAGCUCCUGUCAUGAUGAAUCCUGCGAUAUAUUGGUGGUGGGUAUAUGAUGGAGCUUGAGUAGUGACGUCCUCUGCUAUGAAUGCAUAAGCAGGUAAAGAGUACAUAUGUUGAGCUACCAAAGAAGUAAUAACCCCUAAAGAAGAUAGAGCAAGGCCUAAUUGAAAAUGAAGUGAAUUGUUGAUUGUGUCAUAAAGACCCUUAUGUCUACGCCCCAAUCGCCCCUCAAUGGAAUAUGUGCAUCUAGAUCUUUUAUAUUGUGCCCAAUCCCGAAAUUGGUUCUAUACAUAUGACCAGCAACGAGAAAAAUAAAUACAAUAGCUAAAUGGUGAUGGGCAAUAUCAGUCAACCAUAAACUUUGCAUUUGUGGAUGGAAUCCCUCGAGAAGAGUUAGAAUGGCAGUUCCUGCCCCUUGGGCGGUACCAAAUAAAUGAGUACUUGAAUCGGGGUUUUGAGCAUAAAGAUUCCAUUGACCUGUAAAAAGUAGGCCUAACCCUUCGGGAUGUGGUAAUACAUCUAAGAAAUUAUUCCACCGAAAAUACUACCCUUUGGAUGCAGGAAUAGCAACAUGGACUAAAUGUCCUAUCCAAGCCAAGGAACUUAUGCCAAAAAGUCCUGACAAAUGAUGAUUCAGACGAGAUUCGGCAUUUUUGAACCAGGAAACGCUUGGUUUCCAUUUUAGUUGUAGGUGUAACCAACCUGCUAUUAAGGAUAUGGCAGAAAGAAAUAAUAGAAAAAGAGUGCCAGUAUAAAGAUCUUGAUUAGUGCGUAAACCAAUUGUAUACCACCACUGAUAAACACCAAAAUAAGCGAUAUUCACUCGGCCAAGAGCACCCCCUCGAGUAAAAGCUUUCACGGCCGAUUGACCAAAAUAAAGAUCCUAAAUUACAUGAGCAACAGGUCUUACAUGUAAAGGGUCUUGUACCCACGACUCAAAAUUUACUUGCUAAGCUACAUGAAACAGAUUUCCGAAAGUCCACAGAAAAAUUAUAUCUAAUUGACCGAAAUGAGAAGCAAAAAUAUUCUGAUAAAGACAUUCCUCAGUAAUAUCAUCAUGACUCUCGAAGUUAUGUGCGGUGCAAUACCAAACUAAAUACGACGAGUAGUGGGGUGCUGAGCUAAACCUUGGCUAAACCUUGAAAAUCGUAAUGCCAUAAUGCUUUUCAAAUACUCCUAGCCAUUAUACUACUGCAAUAAUUCUUGCUAAGAAGAAUGCCCAUGUUGUGGCAAUUUCACCCAGAAGGUAAUGGGUUACUCCUACAGCACGUCUUUGUAUAAUGCUCAAGGCUCUUGGCUGAGUAGCAAGAGCAAAUUUUAAUUAUUAUGAGCCCAAACGAUGGAUUCAGUAAGUUCUUGCCAAUAACCACAUCCGCUGAAUAGAAAUAUUAAACUAAAAGCCCAGACAAAAUGAGCGCCUAGGAAAAAAAGGCCAUAUGCGGACAAUGAAGAACCAUAAGACUAAAUUAGCUGGGAUACCUGUGCCCAUAAGAAAUCGCCGAGCCACCCAUUAAUAGCAAUAGAACUCUGCGCAAAGUUUCCUCCCAUGAUAUAAGUUACUACCCAUUGAUCACUUACACCACCCUAAAUAUCUAAUUGCAUUUUCCAACUGAAAUGGAAUAUUACUACAAAAAUUGAAUUGUACAACCAGAAUAGUCCUAAGAAGACAUGAUCCCAGGCCGAUACUUGACAUGUACCCCCUCUUCCAGGUCCAUCACAAGGAAAACAAAAACCAAGAUUUGCCUUAUCCAAUAUUAAAGGAGAACUGUGAGCAAAUAGAACACCUUUUAAGAGUAUCAAUACUGUCACAUGAAUCAUAAAUGCAUGAAUGUGAUGUACCAAGAAAUUAGUGGUUCCUAAUGAAAUAGGCAACAAAGCCACCUUGCCACCCACUGCCACUAAAUCACCACCCCCCACGUUAAACUGGUGCUUGCUGUUGCACCAGGGGCCAUUGCACUAGGUGCUAAAGCAUGGGUGUUUUGUAUCCAUUGAGCAAAAACGGGUUGUAAUUGUAUAGCGGUAUCUGAAAAAAUAUCUUCAGGAAUCCCUAAGGCGCUCAUGGUAUCAUUAUGAAUAUACAAACCAAAAUUGUGAAAACCUAGAAAUAUACAUGCCCAGUUGAGAAGGGAUAUGAUUGUAUCACGAUGCCUAAGGACACGAUCUAAUAGAUCAUUGUACCGAGUAGUUGGAUCAUAAUCUCUUACCAUAAAAAUGGCUGCAUGAGCGGCAGAACCAACUAUGAGAAAUCCACCAAUCCACAUGUGAUGUGUGAACAAUGACAGUUGUGUAAUAUAGUCAGUAGCUAGAUAGGGAUAAGGGGGCAUAGAAUACAUAUGAUGAUCUACAACAAUCGUUAAAGAGCCUAACAUAGCUAAGUUAAGAGAUAAUUAAGCAUGCCAUAACAUUGUUAGGUUCUCAUAUUGGCCUUUAUGGCCCUAACCUAUAAAUGGACCUUUAUGGGCUUUUAAAAUAUUUUUCAGUCCAUGACCAAUACCCUAGUUGGUCUUAUACAUGUGACCCACUAUCAGGAAAAGAAUUGCAGAGCUAAAUGGUGAUGGGCAAUAUCAGUUGUCCACAAACCCCCAGUUAUUGGAUCUAAUCCUCUACGAAAAGUAAGAAAGUCAGCAUAUUUUGACCAAUCCAAGGUGUAAAAUGGGGUUGCUCCCUCGGCAAAACUGGGAUAAACUUGAGCCAAAAGAUCUCGAUUCAAGAUAAAUUCAUGAGGAAGUGAUAUCUCUUUAGGAUCUACUCCAGCAUUUAGAAAUUGGUUAAUCGGUAAAGAUACGUGUACUCGAUGCCCCGCCCAACAGAGAGACCCAAGUCCUAGCAGCCCUGCCAAAUGGUGAUUCAGCAUAGAUUCUAUAUCUUGAAACCAAGCCAUUUUUGGCUCCACUUUAUGAUAAAGAAACCAACCAGCAAAAAGCAUUAAUGCUGCAAAGACCAAUGCCCCAAUUGCUGUACAAUAGAGUUGUAAUUCACUAGUUAUUCUAGAUGCUCGCCAAAUCUGAAAAAAAACUAGAGGUUAUUUGUAUUCCUCGGAAACCCCCGCCUACGUCACCAUUUAAUAUUUCUUGGCCCACUAUUGGCCAAACCACCUGGGCACUAGGCCCAAUGUGAGUUGGAUCACUUAGCCACGCUUCAUAAUUAGAAAAACGAGCACCGUGGAAAUACAUGCCGCUCAGCCAAAGAAAGAUGAUGGAGAGUUGACCGAAAUGUGCACUAAAUACUUUUCGAGAGAUCUCCUCCAAAUCACUGGUAUGGCUAUCGAAAUCGUGAGCAUCAGCAUGUAGGUUCCAGAUCCAAGUGGUAGUAUCAGGCCCUUUAGCUAUUGUUCUUGAGAAAUGACCCGGUCUGGCCCAUUCCUCGAAAGAAGUUUUUACGGGAUCCCUAUCUACCAAAAUUUUAACUUCUGGUUCCGGCGAACGAAUAAUCAUUGAGUCCUCCUCUUUCCGGACAACACAUACAAAGAGACCCGCCAACAGUCAAAUAAUUAGUGAACCUUAGAGAUAGAGAGAUAUUUCUAUAAUUAGUUCGUUUCUCUUCUAUUUUUCUAUCUCCCAUCUAUCUAUUUUCUUUAGUUAUUUACUAGAGCAAUUAUGAUCUAGAAGUCGAUCCGGGGCAAGUGUUCAGAUCUAUUAUGACAUAGCCUUGAGGCGCUCAACGGACCCUUUAACCUUUUAAAAACCUUUUUGGGCUUUGGAUUGAUCCAAAAACGACUUUUUUGUGCAACCUAGUGUAUAUUCAUAGAAGUUAUUAGAUGGAGCUCUUUAAUUUUUUACCUAGAAGAUUGUAAUUACUCUAUUCCAAAUCACGCUAGUAGCCAUUAGACAUUACUAAGAGACAUCCCCGGUAUAUAUAUAUUUAGUGAUUCAAGGGUUUCUUUUAUUAGUUUUAAUACUAAUAACUAAUAAGAAUUUUGUUUAAUUGAAUUUUUUCAUUUUAAUAUUUUUUAAUUUUAAUUUUAAUAUAUUUUAAUUUUAAUAUAAAUAAAUAAUUUUAAUAUAUUAAUAUAAAUAAAUAAAUAAUAAAUAAAUAGAAUAAAAAGAAGUCUAUUUUGUCCUCUAUCUGUCUUUUUUAUUCCUAAAAAAUAGCAGAUGAAUAUAGAAGUGAAAUAGAAGGCUUAGAAGGGAGAUAAUGAAAUUAUGUGAUUGGGUCUUCCAAAAGCAAAGGAAUGAUCCGUUUUUUAGUUAAUUGAUCUGAUGGGUCCAACAAACAAUUAAUUAUAACUAAUAUCUAAAUUCUAAAUAAAGGAUAACAAAUAAAUGGGGUCUUCUUUAAUUCAAAACAUCUCGUGACCUUCAACCAAUUAUGUGCUUCAAUAUAAUUAC